GAUUGAACGCUGGCGGCAUGCUUUACACAUGCAAGUCGAACGGCAGCGGGGGCUUCGGCCUGCCGGCGAGUGGCGAACGGGUGAGUAAUACAUCGGAACGUGUCCUUAAGUGGGGAAUAACGCAUCGAAAGAUGUGCUAAUACCGCAUAUCUCUCAGGAGGAAAGCAGGGGAUCGCAAGACCUUGCGCUAAAGGAGCGGCCGAUGUCUGAUUAGCUAGUUGGUGGGGUAAAGGCCUACCAAGGCAACGAUCAGUAGCUGGUCUGAGAGGACGAUCAGCCACACUGGGACUGAGACACGGCCCAGACUCCUACGGGAGGCAGCAGUGGGGAAUUUUGGACAAUGGGCGAAAGCCUGAUCCAGCCAUGCCGCGUGAGUGAAGAAGGCCUUCGGGUUGUAAAGCUCUUUUAGUUGGAAAGAAAGAAUUAUAGUUAAUAGCUAUAAUUUAUGACGGUACCAACAGAAAAAGCACCGGCUAACUACGUGCCAGCAGCCGCGGUAAUACGUAGGGUGCGAGCGUUAAUCGGAAUUACUGGGCGUAAAGGGUGCGCAGGCGGCCAUGCAAGUCAGAUGUGAAAGCCCCGGGCUUAACCUGGGAAUUGCGUUUGAAACUGCAAGGCUAGAGUGCAACAGAGGGGAGUGGAAUUCCAUGUGUAGCAGUGAAAUGCGUAGAGAUGUGGAAGAACACCGAUGGCGAAAGCAGCUCCCUGGGUUGACACUGACGCUCAUGCACGAAAGCGUGGGGGAGCAAACAGGAUUAGAUACCCUGGUAGUCCACGCCCUAAACUAUGUCAACUGGUUGUCGGAUCUAAUUAAGGAUUUGGUAACGUAGCUAACGCGUGAAGUUGACCGCCUGGGGAGUACGGUCGCAAGAUUAAAACUCAAAGGAAUUGACGGGGACCCGCACCAGCGUGGAUUAUGUGGAUUAAUUCGAUGCAACGCGAAACCUUACCUACCCUUGACAUGCCUGG
rnacentral:rRNA from 1 species